rnacentral:rRNA from 1 species
UACGUAGGGUGCAAGCGUUGUCCGGAAUUAUUGGGCGUAAAGAGCUUGUAGGCGGUUUGUCGCGUCUGCUGUGAAAUUUCGGGGCUCAACCCCGAACUUGCAGUGGGUACGGGCAGACUAGAGUGUGGUAGGGGAGACUGGAAUUCCUGGUGUAGCGGUGAAAUGCGCAGAUAUCAGGAGGAACACCGGUGGCGAAGGCGGCUUUCUGGACAGUAACUGACGCUGAGGCGCGAAAGCUAGGGGAGCAAACAGG